ACUCCUACGGGAGGCAGCAGUGGGGAAUAUUGCACAAUGGGGGAAACCCUGAUGCAGCCAUGCCGCGUGUGUGAAGAAGGCCUUCGGGUUGUAAAGCACUUUCAGUAGGGAGGAAGGUAGUGUAGUUAACACCUGCACUUAUUUGACGUUACCUACAGAAGAAGCACCGGCUAACUCCGUGCCAGCAGCCGCGGUAAUACGGAGGGUGCGAGCGUUAAAUCGGAAUUACUGGGCGUAAAGCGCAUGCAGGCGGCCUGUUAAGUCAGAUGUGAAAGCCCGGGGCUUAACCUCGGAAUUGCAUUUGAAACUGGCAGGCUAGAGUCUUGUAGAAGGGGUUAGAAUUUCAGGUGUAGCGGUGAAAUGCGUAGAGAUCUGAAGGAAUACCAGUGGCGAAGCGGCCCCUGGACAAAGCUGACGCUCAGAUGCGAAAGCGUGGGAGCAAACGAGGAUU
rnacentral:rRNA from 1 species